AGGACGAACGCUGGCGGCGUGCUUAACACAUGCAAGUCGAACGAGGCGCUUGCGCCUAGUGGCGAACGGGUGAGUAACACGUGAGCAACCUGCCCUUGGCUCUGGGAUAGCCGUCCGGAAACGGGGAUUAAUACCGGACAUGACCUUCUCCUGCAUGGGGGAGGGUGGAAAGUUUUUCGGCCAGGGAGGGGCUCGGCGGGCCUAUCAGCUUGGUUGGGGGGGUAACGGCCCACCAAGGCGACGACGGGUAGCC
rnacentral:rRNA from 1 species